rnacentral:rRNA from 1 species
GACGAACGCUGGCGGCGUGCUUAACGCAUGCAAGUCGAACGGAAAGGCCCUGCUUUUGUGGGGUGCUCGAGUGGCGAACGGGUGAGUAACACGUGAGUAACCUGCCCUUGACUUUGGGAUAACUUCAGGAAACUGGGGCUAAUACCGGAUAGGAGCUCCUGCUGCAUGGUGGGGGUUGGAAAGUUUCGGCGGUUGGGGAUGGACUCGCGGCUUAUCAGCUUGUUGGUGGGGUAGUGGCUUACCAAGGCUUUGACGGGUAGCCGGCCUGAGAGGGUGACCGGCCACAUUGGGACUGAGAUACGGCCCAGACUCCUACGGGAGGCGGCAGUGGGGAAUAUUGCACAAUGGGCGGAAGCCUGAUGCAGCAACGCCGCGUGCGGGAUGACGGCCUUCGGGUUGUAAACCGCUUUCGCCUGUGACGAAGCGUGAGUGACGGUAAUGGGUAAAGAAGCACCGGCUAACUACGUG